AGAGGUUCUAGCCACACUUCCUGUGCCCGGGCCUCCUGCCAGAUGUUUGGAGGGGAUUUUCACGAGCCGUGUAGUUUGAUCUCAUGCUGGGUAAUCCUCUACUCAGUGUGAAGGGGCUAAAGCAAUUACCAGUGAAGGAUUCAUGAGAUUCUAGGGGAAAAGAUAAAUAAUGAUGCAUUUCGUAAGACCAACCAAAGAAUCCAGAAGCAUACCAUGGAGAACUUAAGAGAUUUCUUCUUUACAGGCUAAGCAUCCAUAUUUACUUCAACUAGUCCAUCCCAAGGCAUGUCACCAUCCUUAUAGCCCCCGCCACUGGAUGCUUCCUAGCUUAUUAAAGACCUUCCGUAACACACGGUACCCAGAACUGAACCUCACAAUCCAGCAUGGUUUGACCUCACCAGAGUCCAGUGGGAAUAUUACCUCCUUAGUCCUGGACAUGAACCGAAGAUCCCAUUGGCUUUUGUGACUGAUGCUACACUCUUAGGCCUCCUUGAGCUUCCGUGUUUAAAUUGAUUGAAUGCUUUAUUGAUGCUAUUCUUUCUUUUUAAAUGUUACUAUCUCUCCCUACAACUUCCCUCCCCAACCUUCUC